rnacentral:rRNA from 1 species
GACGAACCGUGCGAACGUUAUUCGGAAUCACUGGGCUUAAAGGGCGCGUAGGCGGGCCGCCAAGUCAGGGGUGAAAUCCCACGGCUCAACCGUGGAAGUGCCUUUGAUACUGGCGGCCUCGAGGGAGGCAGGGGCGUGCGGAACUUUGGGUGGAGCGGUGAAAUGCGUAGAUAUCCAAAGGAACACCGGUGGCGAAAGCGGCGCGCUGAACCUCUUCUGACGCUGAGGCGCGAAAGCGUGGGGAGCAAACAGG